rnacentral:rRNA from 1 species
UACGGGGGGGGGCAAGCGUUUGUUCGGAAUUACUGGGCGUAAAGGGCUCGUAGGUGGCCAACUAAGUCAGACGUGAAAUCCCCUCGGCUUAACCGGGGAACUGCGUCUGAUACUGGAUGGCUUGAGUUCGGGAGAGGGAUGCGGAAUUCCAGGUGUAGCGGUGAAAUGCGUAGAUAUCUGGAGGAACACCGGUGGCGAAGGCGGCAUCCUGGACCGACACUGACGCUGAGGAGCGAAAGCCAGGGGAGCAAAGCAGG